CAUUUUAAUUUGUCGUUUCAACAAAAGUGGUUCCUGCUCCUCAAAAAAUUGUGCAAGAAGAAAAACAAUCAACAUGUAAGAAAAAAACUCAGAGCCACACAAAACACAAUUCGCAAACAGUUUUCAAGUGCCAAAAUCAG